UACGUAGGUGGCGAGCGUUAUCCGGAAUUACUGGGUGUAAAGGGUGUGUAGGCGGGUCGGCAAGUCAGGCGUGAAAUACGAGGGCUCAACCCUCGGGCUGCGCUUGAAACUGUCGAUCUUGAGAGUGGGAGAGGUAAACGGAAUUCCUGGUGUAGUAGUGAAAUGCGUAGAUAUCAGGAGGAACACCGGUGGCGAAGGCGGUUUACUGGACCACAACUGACGCUGAGACACGAAAGCGUGGGGAGCAAAC
rnacentral:rRNA from 1 species